UACCUUCUCUUUAAUAAUUCC
rnacentral:piRNA from 1 species